rnacentral:rRNA from 1 species
GAUGAACGCUGGCGGCGUGCCUAAUACAUGCAAGUCGAGCGAACGGACGAGAAGCUUGCUUCUCUGAUGUUAGCGGCGGACGGGUGAGUAACACGUGGAUAACCUACCUAUAAGACUGGGAUAACUUCGGGAAACCGGAGCUAAUACCGGAUGACAUUUUGAACCGCAUGGUUCAAAAGUGAAAGACGGUCUUGCUGUCACUUAUAGAUGGAUCCGCGCUGCAUUAGCUAGUUGGUAAGGUAACGGCUUACCAAGGCAACGAUGCAUAGCCGACCUGAGAGGGUGAUCGGCCACACUGGAACUGAGACACGGUCCAGACUCCUACGGGAGGCAGCAGUAGGGAAUCUUCCGCAAUGGGCGAAAGCCUGACGGAGCAACGCCGCGUGAGUGAUGAAGGUCUUCGGAUCGUAAAACUCUGUUAUUAGGGAAGAACAUAUGUGUAAGUAACUGUGCACAUCUUGACGGUACCUAAUCAGAAAGCCACGGCUAACUACGUG